rnacentral:lncRNA from 1 species
GCUCCAAGCCCCACUGCAGCCAUGUCAUGUCUCACCGCCUGUCUUGGGGAGAUAAAGGCAUGGAUGAGCAACAACUUUCUCCAGCUAAACAGUAGCAAAACCGAAGCCCUUCUUGUUGGCACUCCACACCAGGUUCAGUCAUCCUCCUUAACUCAUCUCACCUUCGACAGCCAGGUCAUCCCCCUCUCCUCCACAGUCACUAAUCUCGGAGUUAGGUUUGACCCUCACCUGACCUUUAAUGACCAUAUAAAACACCUGUGCAAAACCUCCUUUUAUCAUCUAAGAAACAUCUCCAAACUCCGCCCCACUUUAACCCUAUCAGAUGCAGAGGAGCUUGUCCACGCCUUUAUCUCCUCAAGACUGGACUAUUGUAAUUCGCUUUUCUAUGGGAUCACUGGCAAGAACAUCCAGAAGCUGCAAUACAUCCAAAACAGCGCUGCCAGGAUCCUGAUGAAGGUCCGGAAAUAUGAGCACAUAACACCAAUAUUACACUCACUACACUGGCUCCCUGUCGCUUUCCGGAUUGACUACAAAGUCCUUAUACUCACCUAUACAUGCAUAAAUGGGCAUGCACCUCCUUACCUGCAAGAACUAAUUACUCCCCAAACCUCCACCUGCACCCUCAGGUCUUCAAACAGCUCGCUCCUCCGCGUCCCCAAAACCAAGCUCCGCACCAUGGGCGACCGGGCCUUUUGCUCGGCAGCACCACGCUUAUGGAACAGCCUCCCUGACCACCUGAGGGCAACGCAGACGCUGGACUCCUUUAAAGCUGGACUAAAAACAUUUGUAUUCAGGAAGGCAUUUCUGGCCAAUUUCAAUUAUGCUUAUGUUAACUCAUUUUUAUUUUAUUGUAUUAUUAUAGUUAGUUUCUAAUAUGUUGGCACACUGAUUUACACUUAUCUAAAUUUCCUUUAAGUACUCCUUUGGGGUGCUGAGUGAUAGAAUAGAUAAGAAAGAAAAUGUUUUCUUUUUUGUUCUGUGGGUUGGUGGUCUGUGUGAGAUUUUAGUGUGGAAAGGUUCAUCCAAGGGUUCAGAGGAAAGCACACCCAAACACACACACACACACACACACACACACACACACACACAAACACAUACGUAUACACAUAUGUGACUUUAUAACAGAUAUAUUAUUGUGCUAAAUUUGAGCCUUUUGUGAAAUUUACAUGUAUACAUAAUCAACUAAAUGAGUUUCAAUGUAUAACUGUACUUGCCAU